rnacentral:rRNA from 14 species
UUGACGGUACCGUAAGAAUAAGGACCGGCUAACUCCGUGCCAGCAGCCGCGGUAAUACGGAGGGUCCGAGCGUUAUCCGGAAUUAUUGGGUUUAAAGGGUCCGUAGGCGGGCCUGUAAGUCAGGGGUGAAAGUUUGUGGCUCAACCAUAAAAUUGCCUUUGAUACUGCAGGUCUUGAGUCAUGGUGGGGUCGCCGGAACAUGUGGUGUAGCGGUGAAAUGCAUAGAUAUCACAUAGAACACCGAUCGCGAAGGCAGGUGACCAACCAUGUACUGACGCUGAUGGACGAAAGCGUGGGGAGCGAAC